rfam:Oryza punctata chromosome 1, whole genome shotgun sequence.
AGAAAGGUCGUAGUUUUAAGUUUUUAUGUCUAACGUUUGAUUUUCUAUCUUAUUUAAAUUUUUUUAUGAUUACUAAUUUUAUUAUUAUUAUAUGAUAAAACAUAAAUAAUAGUUUAUGCGUGACUAUUUUUUUUAUUUUUUUAAAAUAUGACGGACGAUUAAAUAUUAGAUACGAAAAUCCAUAACUAUACUUAAA